rnacentral:lncRNA from 1 species
AAAGAAAAAGGGGGAUCUCCUGUUGGACGCACAGGGCAUUUAGACUGACCUCUCCAAACAAUCGUAUUCUAGAGCAGAGCUCAGGAAUACAAGAGUUUGAAAUUCAAGCCUGGUCUUCCAGGUGGUUAUAAGAUAUAUUGAUCAAGUUAGCAAUAUAGAACACAUUUAACACUUGGUUCUAUUGGUUCCUAGUUUUGAAAUGUUAGACAUGUGAUAUGUUUGCCUCCAUUCAUAUGGGCAAACUUUUGCCUUGGUCCCUGGAAAUGCAACAGGUGGCCCUCCUGAAGCUACUGUAAUCUGGCUUAUUCACCUCUAUCUUGCAACCCUUAUUGUUAAGGUUAUUGAUAGUCUUUUUCUGGUUCUGUCCUUUUGACAGCUGACCAAUCCCUCCUCAAAACUCUCCUCUCUCAGUAUCACGUGACCAUCCCAGUUUUCUCCCUUUUUCUCUGUAAUUUCCUAUGUGUCUUUCUUGGGUACUUAUUAUGUCAUCAGUCAUGAAAAUAGAAUUUCCCAGAAUUCUGUUUUUGGAGAUGACCACCACAGACCUCUCUCCUAGUGAAAUCUUUCUAGAUACUUUCUAGAUCACAGUAUCUGAUCAUAUUCUGAUACUGUGGAACUCUACAGUGGCUCCUCAUGAUGCCCUGCCAUAUAAAUUCCCACUCUUCUCAUGAAUUGAGGGAUAUAUGAUCAUCUGCUGUUUCUUUAGCCUCAUCUGCUACUCCCUCUCCAUAUGCAUCCAACUCCAUUCAAACUGCAGCUCCCUGAGACCAUUUUCUUGCCUGGGCUGUUACCCAGGGGUUUCUUUUGCCUGGAAUAUGCUUCCCUCCAUUGUCUGUCUGGGCUGAUGUGCGAACAGACUGGAACCAGGAAACCAGAAAGAAGUCUGUCUGAUCAGCCAAGCAAGAGAUGAGGAGUAGCACAUCAUAGAGCCAGGGAGGAAAGAGGAGAAAAGGAAGACCCUGGAACAGAUAGAUACAAGAUAACUUUGUGAGGAGGAACUGGCCAGCCUCAAUGAGAUUCCAUGCAGCAGAUAAGGUGGAGACAGGUGUCUUUAUUAGAUGAUACUGUGAACCAAAAUACAGAAGAAACAUUAUGGAAGGUAGUUUUCUGGAGAACA